AAAAAGAACCUGAAACCGUGUACGUACAAGCAGUGGGAGCACCUUCGGGUGUGACUGCGUACCUUUUGUAUAAUGGGUCAGCGACUUAUAUUCUGUAGCAAGGUUAACCGUAUAGGGGAGCCGCAGGGAAACCGAGUCUUAACUGGGCGUUAAGUUGCAGGGUAUAGACCCGAAACCCGGUGAUCUAGCCAUGGGCAGGUUGAAGGUUGGGUAACACUAACUGGAGGACCGAACCGACUAAUGUUGAAAAAUUAGCGGAUGACUUGUGGCUGGGGGUGAAAGGCCAAUCAAACCGGGAGAUAGCUGGUUCUCCCCGAAAGCUAUUUAGGUAGCGCCUCGUGAACUCAUCUUCGGGGGUAGAGCACUGUUUCGGCUAGGGGGUCAUCCCGACUUACCAACCCGAUGCAAACUACGAAUACCGAAGAAUGUUAUCACGGGAGACACACGGCGGGUGCUAACGUCCGUCGUGAAGAGGGAAACAACCCAGACCGCCAGCUAAGGUCCCAAAGUCAUGGUUAAGUGGGAAACGAUGUGGGAAGGCACAGACAGCCAGGAUGUUGGCUUAGAAGCAGCCAUCAUUUAAAGAAAGCGUAAUAGCUCACUGGUCGAGUCGGCCUGCGCGGAAGAUGUAACGGGGCUAAACCAUGCACCGAAGCUGCGGCAGCGACACUAUGUGUUGUUGGGUAGGGGAGCGUUCUGUAAGCCUGCGAAGGUGACCUGUGAGGGUUGCUGGAGGUAUCAGAAGUGCGAAUGCUGACAUAAGUAACGAUAAAGCGGGUGAAAAGCCCGCUCGCCGGAAGACCAAGGGUUCCUGUCCAACGUUAAUCGGGGCAGGGUGAGUCGACCCCUAAGGCGAGGCCGAAAGGCGUAGUCGAUGGGAAACAGGUUAAUAUUCCUGUACUUGGUGUUACUGCGAAGGGGGGACGGAGAAGGCUAUGUUAGCCGGGCGACGGUUGUCCCGGUUUAAGCAUGUAGGCUGGUUGUCCAGGCAAAUCCGGAUAAUCAAGGCUGAGGUGUGAUGACGAGGCACUACGGUGCUGAAGUAACAAAUGCCCUGCUUCCAGGAAAAGCCUCUAAGCAUCAGGUAACAUCAAAUCGUACCCCAAACCGACACAGGUGGUCAGGUAGAGAAUACCAAGGCGCUUGAGAGAACUCGGGUGAAGGAACUAGGCAAAAUGGUGCCGUAACUUCGGGAGAAGGCACGCUGGUGUGUAGGUGAAGUCCCUGCGGAUGGAGCUGAGACCAGUCGAAGAUACCAGCUGGCUGCAACUGUUUAUUAAAAACACAGCACUGUGCAAACACGAAAGUGGACGUAUACGGUGUGACGCCUGCCCGGUGCCGGAAGGUUAAUUGAUGGGGUUAUCCGUAAGGAGAAGCUCUUGAUCGAAGCCCCGGUAAACGGCGGCCGUAACUAUAACGGUCCUAAGGUAGCGAAAUUCCUUGUCGGGUAAGUUCCGACCUGCACGAAUGGCGUAAUGAUGGCCAGGCUGUCUCCACCCGAGACUCAGUGAAAUUGAACUCGCUGUGAAGAUGCAGUGUACCCGCGGCAAGACGGAAAGACCCCGUGAACCUUUACUAUAGCUUGACACUGAACAUUGAGCCUUGAUGUGUAGGAUAGGUGGGAGGCUUUGAAGCGUGGACGCCAGUCUGCGUGGAGCCAACCUUGAAAUACCACCCUUUAAUGUUUGAUGUUCUAACGUUGGCCCCUUACCGGGGUUGCGGACAGUGUCUGGUGGGUAGUUUGACUGGGGCGGUCUCCUCCCAAAGCGUAACGGAGGAGCACGAAGGUUAGCUAAUCCUGGUCGGACAUCAGGAGGUUAGUGCAAUGGCAUAAGCUAGCUUGACUGCGAGCGUGACGGCGCGAGCAGGUGCGAAAGCAGGUCAUAGUGAUCCGGUGGUUCUGAAUGGAAGGGCCAUCGCUCAACGGAUAAAAGGUACUCCGGGGAUAACAGGCUGAUACCGCCCAAGAGUUCAUAUCGACGGCGGUGUUUGGCACCUCGAUGUCGGCUCAUCACAUCCUGGGGCUGAAGUAGGUCCCAAGGGUAUGGCUGUUCGCCAUUUAAAGUGGUACGCGAGCUGGGUUUAGAACGUCGUGAGACAGUUCGGUCCCUAUCUGCCGUGGGCGCUGGAGAAUUGAGGGGGGCUGCUCCUAGUACGAGAGGACCGGAGUGGACGCAUCACUGGUGUUCGGGUUGUCAUGCCAAUGGCACUGCCCGGUAGCUAAAUGCGGAAGAGAUAAGUGCUGAAAGCAUCUAAGCACGAAACUUGCCCCGAGAUGAGUUCUCCCUGAGACUUUAAGUCUCCUGAAGGAACGUUAAAGACGAUGACGUUGAUAGGCCGGGUGUGUAAGCGCAGCGAUGCGUUGAGCUAACCGGUACUAAUGAACCGUGAGGCUUAACCUUACAACGCCGAAG
rnacentral:rRNA from 1 species